UAAAUUGGCUUUUCAGCCUCUGCUCUUCAGGCUUCAUUGAGGAGGGCAAAUAUUGACAGUGCAAAAGUCCAGACAGAUACACGGUGCUGUGGCUUUCUGCUCUCUCAGCAUGAUUGAGGGCUAUAACAACUUGUGUUUGGCAUUUUAAGCCAGUAACUUUCUGUGUUUGUAGAGGAAUGGCACGACUUUGGGCGUUUGUUGACAUUAAUUGGUGUGUGCAGGACUUUUCUCCAUGGGUGAUUCAUAAUUUGGGGGGAAAAAAAAUGCAACUUUCCUGUAAGUUGUUGUUUUUAUGUUGUGUGUUAUGUGACUCACUAUGCUGCCGAGUCAUUGAGCUGAUACUCGCGGGAGCGGCUGAAGCAGGCUUGAACACCUCCGUCCUUCCACAGACGCUUAAUGACACCGGCCAGCUCCCCCGUCAUGAAGCCUUCCUCUGCGGAGCCCGCCAGCACAAACAACUGCCGUGCAUCAUCCUGAGAGAGGAAAAGCAAUAAACUCUUGCAGCAUCGCCAAAGUCGAUCUUGAGGCGCCCCAUGGCUCUGAUGAUGGCGAUGAUGGACUGGAUGGUGUUGCUGUAUACCACAGCCUUGUACUGCUUACAUUCCUCUUCUGAGUAGCCUGCCUCGUGGAUGAUCCUGAAAGAAGAGGAGGAAAAGACGGUCAUGUCGGUCAACGAUUUCCAAAUUCUACCUCUAUAGAUAGAAAGAUCUCCUGAGGAAAUCUGUAUGGUGAAUAAUGUGUUGUACUAUUCAGCUGUCUACGAAAUGCUCAGCUUUUAUUCAAUAUCCUUUUCAAUACUCUGACAUACUGUAUGCCCAUUGGUUAUAUGUGGAGGAAUAUAGUUAGGCCACAUAGAUCCUGAUAUUUAAGCUUCUGAUUCAUGGCCACUUAAGUCAUGGUUAGUCAGGUGAAAGCAGCUUUUCUACUCUGGAUAGAAGCAUCCGCAUGCAGACAAUGUAAAAAUACACUCUUUAAAUGUA